rnacentral:rRNA from 1 species
AGUGAACGCUGGCGGUAGGCCUAACACAUGCAAGUCGAACGGCAGCACAGUAAGAGCUUGCUCUUACGGGUGGCGAGUGGCGGACGGGUGAGGAAUACAUCGGAAUCUACUUUUUCGUGGGGGAUAACGUAGGGAAACUUACGCUAAUACCGCAUACGACCUACGGGUGAAAGCAGGGGAUCUUCGGACCUUGCGCGAUUGAAUGAGCCGAUGUCGGAUUAGCUAGUUGGCGGGGUAAAGGCCCACCAAGGCGACGAUCCGUAGCUGGUCUGAGAGGAUGAUCAGCCACACUGGAACUGAGACACGGUCCAGAGGCCUACGGGAGGCAGCAGUGGGGAAUAGUGGACAAUGGGCGCAAGCCUGAUCCAGCCAUACCGCGUGGGUGAAGAAGGCCUUCGGGUUGUAAAGCCCUUUUGUUGGGAAAGAAAAUCAGCAGGUUAAUACCCCGCUGUUCUGACGGUACCCAAAGAAUAAGCACCGGCUAACUUCGUG